UACGUAGGGUGCGAGCGUUAAUCGGAAUUACUGGGCGUAAAGCGUGCGCAGGCGGUGCGCCAAGCUCGAUGUGAAAGCCCCGGGCUUAACCUGGGAAUUGCAUUGAGGACUGGCGUGCUCGAGUGCGGCAGAGGGGGGUGGAAUUCCACGUGUAGCAGUGAAAUGCGUAGAGAUGUGGAGGAACACCGAUGGCGAAGGCAGCCCCCUGGGCCGACACUGACGCUGAGGCGCGAAAGCUAGGGGAGCGAACGGG
rnacentral:rRNA from 1 species